UACGUAGGGCGCAAGCGUUGUCCGGAAUUAUUGGGCGUAAAGAGCUCGUAGGCGGUCUGUCGCGUCCGUUGUGAAAACUCGAGGCUCAACCUCGGGCUUGCAGUGGAUACGGGCAGACUAGAGUGCGGUAGGGGAGACUGGAAUUCCUGGUGUAGCGGUGGAAUGCGCAGAUAUCAGGAGGAACACCGAUGGCGAAGGCGGUUCUCUGGGCAUGUUCUGACGCUGAGGAGCGUAAGUGUGGGGAGCGAACAGG
rnacentral:rRNA from 1 species